UUGAAACGGAAUACGUAAACGAUUCGAAUUGAAUUCCGAUUGAGUUAACUGGGCUUCCGACGCGCACCAGGAGGACAUAUCUGCAGCUAGAGAUUUACGUUUCUGAUCUGCAAUUUUGAAUUGGAGAUGUCUGCCUAUUUCAUUCGGACAAAAAGUGAUUAUCAGUCUGAAUUGCAGACACCAGAAUAUUUAUCUCUGUGGUAAUGCUAACCAAAUUUCAAGCAAAAAAAUGUAAAUGGGCCAAAGCCGAAGUGUUAGUCUGGCCCGCUUACGUCAGUGGAUGUUUACAUUAAGAACGAGCAGGACAGACUCUUUGUUUACACUUCGGCUUUGGCCCAUUUACAUUGUUUUGCAUCAUUUAAUCAUUAUUUUUGUUUCCAGGUAAAAAAUAAACGACGCUUACACUGACAAAAUGGUUCUUCAAAACGGAUGAGCUGUUAGAAGCUGUUUUUCUUGUUGUUUUGAAAUUAGCUAAGCCGAGUCUUCCGUCACUACACGGAAGAGUUCCACCCCUUGCCAAACUACCGUGUCCAUUCUACCAACUAUGGCCCGACAAUAGGACGUUCAUACAACUGCGCAUGAAGUUUCAGACGAUGAAAAGAAGGAGGAGGAAGAUGGUUUACCGAAGUCGGAACGCGAGUUGGAGAAACCGGCAGAGAUUGCGACGCCUCCAAAGGCCAGGUUGAUGAGGAAAUUGGUGUGCUCGUUCCGGUGGUUGAAUAACUGACUCGGCAACGGCGGCAAUAGCGACCAGUAUUGGGCCAAUAGCUAUCUAAAUGCAAGCGGACAUUUCGCAGGUUGCGGAAAUGUCCGCGUAGCCUUCCGGAACCUACUUUGAGAUUAUCGUCAGAAAUUUUCUCUGUGCUGAAGAAUAUCACCAGCAAGA